GAGAGAGAGAGAGAAACCUCACUCGCUCACUUGUACAGAAAACGGGUGGGUUAAGAUUCGUUUUAGUACCGUGCCAGUAUUUCCUUACCUACCUUAUGAAACAUCACUAGCUCUUCAUAAAUCUUUUCUACAAACAUUCAACAAGCAUGGAAACACUUUCAAAAUCCAAUUCAAGGACUUUUUUUUUCUUGUUGAAAAUAGGGGAUAAUAUUCACGAAAUCGCAGCCUUGAGGAUCCUCUGGCGGCGGCCACUGCGGCGGUGCAGCUGGAUUUUCAUUUGGACACCACCAUGUCAGUGAGACACAGUACAGAACGGUAUAGACUCAGGGUCAACCUGGAACUGGGUUUCAGAGCAUUUGAGAAGAGUGCCCCGCGGCUCUAUAAUGAGUUACCCGGGACGUUAAGAACAGUGACAGUCUGGCAAUCUUCAAGAAAGCGCUGAAGACUCACUUAUUCACUAAAUCCUACGACUUAACAAAUAUGAGGAUUGAGGACAACUUUAGGUGCUAAUAUUACUGUUAUAAUGUUAGCGGCCCUGUGGAGCGCUGCCACGGCGGAGGACCGGGGCCCGAAACCUCAUCAACGGUAAGAGGUACAUGUACUAUACAACGUGACGCUUGAUUGUAUAAACGUCAUGUUGGUCUUCAUCAACUCCACUGUGGCUGCUCCUUGGCGCGUGUUUGAAGGCGUGGUGAGCUGGGAAGAGGAGAGGGAAGGAAGGGAAGAAAAAUAAGAAAGGAGGAGAGAAAGGAUAGGAAAAGAAAUUAGAGAGUAAAUAUGUUAACUAACGGACAUUAUAUUAUGAAGGAGAGGAGGAGGGCGCCACUCUACAGCAGUCAACGGAACACGUGCAGACCAAGACCAAGACAGGAUGUAAACACGUCUGUCGCUACAAAGCUCCCGACUACUACUGCUACUACUACUACCCUGCUGAAGUGCUUAAGAAGUGACGUAAUACUGGAAAGGAAAGUGUGAGUAAGUGAAUAAGGGGAAGGAGAGGAGGACUUAGGAAGCGAUACAAAGCGUUACAGGUCAAAAGAAGAAGAAGAAGAAGGCUCACCGCUGGGAAGGAACAGUGACUGGGCGUGUUGGCAACCACUGCUGUGAAGGGAAGGAACAGUGACUGGGCGUGUUCAGGGGUCAGUACGAGGUGGGUGGCUCAUGUCCAUUUCAUGUAUCCAUGUAUCCCGACACGCGGGCGCGGCUUCGCCCACUUGUCCCGCCCAGACAGCCCUUGGGUACGCUCGCCCUUGCAGUGUGUUCUCUCCUUGGUGACCUUUUUCAUGGUGUGUGUUCCCUGGCGUGGUUCUGCCCCUCAAUUCUUGGUUUGCAGUUUACCUUUCUGGUAUUAUUCUAGUGUUUGCCCAUACUCACCCCUCGCAACCAAAAUUGGCUAGGGGGCCAUUGAGACUUCGAGGAAUGCGGUGGUAAACAUGAAAUGUGUCACAAAUGCAAAGUUUUUGAGUCAUGUGGGGUUGAAAAAUACCCUAGAUGUAGGGGAAUUCCUUAGUUACUUGGAUGUAGGGAAAUUUCAUAUAUUCCUUUUUUUUUUUACACCGUACGGAAACCGUGCAAUUUCACUCACUCUCCAUACCAAAGGGGGGUUCAAGGGGGGCGAAGCCCCCUGUUUGAAUAUAAAGGUCAUAAUGAAGCAUCUAAACGAUAAGUGAUUUACGUCAUAGAAAUCUUGCAACCGACUUAUACAAUUACGUAUUCACUUACUGGUAGCACGUACCAACGCGUGAAGCAGGUUUGGUAUCACGUACCAACGCGUGAAGCAGGUUUGGUAUCACGUACCAAUGCGUGAAGCAGGUUUGGUAUCACGUACCAAUGCGUGAAGCAGGUUUGGUAUCACGUACCAACGCGUGAAGCAGGUUUGGUAUCACGUACCAAUGCGUGAAGCAGGUUUGGUAUCAGGUACCAACGCGUGAAGCAGGUUUGGUAUCACGUACCAAUGCGUGAAGCAGGUUUGGUAUCACGUACCAACGCGUGAAGCAGGUUUGGUAUCACGUACCAAUGCGUGAAGCAGGUUUGGUAUCACGUACCAACGCGUGAAGCAGGUUUGGUAUCAGGUACCAACGCGUGAAGCAGGUUUGGUAUCAGGUACCAACGCGUGAAGCAGGUUUGGUAUCAGGUACCAACGCAUGAAGCAGGUUUGGUAUCAGGUACCAACGCGUGAAGCAGGUUUGGUAUCAGGUACCAACGCAUGAAGCAGGUUUGGUAUCACGUACCAACGCGUGAAGCAGGUUCGAACACAGGUUACUUGUGUUCAAUGUUCCUCAGUUACCUGUUAGGUCAUAAAGUUCGGUUGGGGUACUUGGGGGGGGGGGGGUCCAGGGGGUGUCAAAGGGGGCAAAGCGCCCCCGUUAGUAGGUCAUAAAGUUCGGUUGGAGUAGUUUAAGUAUGCUCCCCCACCCAAAUACUCCGACUCCCCGUGGGUACCCCAAGAUCAUUGGGGAAGGGGAUUAAUUUGGCUUCUUUACUUCUAAGUACUUCCGCCUUCAUAUUAUGGUUGAGGGACAUGUAUUUUGUUUUUUUAAUUAUGAUAUAUGGAGGCGUAUUAUUGUAUUCUGGAGGCACGGAGUCAGUAUCCACGAUCACCGUGUAUACUGGGAAUACGAACCCGUGAAGCAGAUUCAAAAUGCGGUCAGUAAGGAUUCACGUGUUCGAACAGCUCGGGCAGGAGGUUCGAGAGCCUUCACUUGCUCUAGAACCCGCAGUACUGUUUAAGGCGCGGCGUUGGACGGAUCAUGGCUAGCCGGUGGUUUUGCUUGUGUCAGUGAUAAACAAUGAAGAUACACUGUGUUUGGUGCCACGGACUCUACUUGGAGGACAGAAACCUUGCGAUGAGGUGACAACCUACUAGAGAGAGAGGGCAUGAGUGUGGUGUAGGCAGUUUAUGUGAGCGCACACAGCGCAUAUGGCCUCCGGCGCCACGCCAGAUGGUGAGGUGAGCAUCGUUUGGUGGGUUCACUAUACUUCUCUCCCAAAACAAGCUUGGGGAUCCAGUGAGUGCGUGGUUUCCGUAUGGAAAAACUAAAUUAGUCGCAAACACUCAUUUUAGUGGUGGUGGGAGGAAAAAUCCCUAAAUGUAGGGAAUUUCCCAAGAUCUAGGGAGUUUUUAUCCCCCCCACUAAAAAAAAUAUGCGCUUGUGACGGAUUUCGUGUCCCCCACCCAAAACCCCGUGUUCCCACCAGGUCCCCAGGCUUGUAUGGGGGGAGGGGGGAGUAUGGGCAAACACUAGAAUUUUACCCCCUUUCCUUUACAAGGUGUCCUUCAGCUGCCUGCUGCCUCCAAGGUGUUGAGGGCAGGUACUUCAUUACUCUGGGUCUGUUUUGGCUCAGUUUAUUUGGUGCAGUUUUGUGGCUGACAGCAGUAGGUA